rnacentral:rRNA from 1 species
AUUGAACGCUGGCGGCAUGCCUUACACAUGCAAAUCGAACGGUAACGGGCCUUCGGGUGCCGACGAGUGGCGAACGGGUGCGUAAUACAUCGGAACGUGCCCGAUCGUGGGGGAUAACGAGGCGAAAGCUUUGCUAAUACCGCAUACGAUCUACGGAUGAAAGCAGGGGACCGCAAGGCCUUGCGCGGACGGAGCGGCCGAUGGCAGAUUAGGUAGUUGGUGGGAUAAAAGCUUACCAAGCCGACGAUCUGUAGCUGGUCUGAGAGGAUGAUCAGCCACACUGGGACUGAGACACGGCCCAGACUCCUACGGGAGGCAGCAGUGGGGAAUUUUGGACAAUGGGCGCAAGCCUGAUCCAGCCAUGCCGCGUGCAGGAUGAAGGCCUUCGGGUUGUAAACUGAUUUUGUACGGAACGAAAAGCCUUCUUUUAAUACAGGAGGGUCAUGACGGUACCGUAAGAAUAAGCACCGGCUAACUACGUG